CAGGUUAGAGCCAGGUGGUUAGGCGUCUUGUUUGGGUCAAGAAAUUGUUAUGUUCGAAUCAUAAUAACCUGA
rnacentral:tRNA from 13 species